rnacentral:rRNA from 1 species
GGCUUAUUGAUAAUAAUUUUAAGUCUAUCUGCCCAAUGAUUUUAAAAUUUAAUGGCUGCAGUAUAAUUAACUGUACAAAGGUAGCAUAAUCAAUUGUUUUUUAAUUAAGAACUAGAAUGAAAGAAUUAAUGAGAUAUAUUCUGUCUCAUAUAUAUAUUAUGAAAUUAAAUUUUUAGUAAGAAUGCUAAAAUAUGUUUAUGGGACGAUAAGACCCUAUAGAAUUUUAUAUUUAUAUUUGGAAUUAAAAUUUAUUUUAAGUAUAAGUAUUUGAUUGGGAGGAUUAAUAAAUUUAAUUAACUUUAUUUAAAAUAUUAACUUUAAUUAAAGAAUUAUUUUUGAUCUUUUAUUAAAAAUUAAAAGAAAAAAUUACCUUAGGGAUAACAGCGUAAUAUCUUUUUAAAGAUCAUAUUAAUAAAGAUGGUUGCGACCUCGAUGUUGAAUUAAGAUAAAUUUUAAACGGAGAAGUUUAAUGAUUAAGUCUGUUCGACUUUUAAAAUCUUACAUGAUUUGAGUUCAAAUCGACGUGAGU